UCAACGUUUCAGUCCUGCAUAGAGGACUUUCAUCAGGAUCAAACAUCUGUGUUUUGUGUUUGAGCCUGCGUUGAACCAGUGUUUGAUCCUGAUGAAAGUCCUCUAUGCAGGACUGAAACG